ACCCUACUUGUGGUCUCUGUGUAUAACGAGUAAAUCCUAGCCUCGGAGAUCCAAAACCCGAUCCUGGAGAAUGAUUACCAAACCCAAUGCUCGGAGAUCCUACUUGUGAUCUUCGAGAUGCUCGUUGCUCAACAUUUAUCGGUGCAAGAAAGUGUCGAAAACCUGUAGUAGAUGGGUCAAUACGAAUACUUGGAGUUCUUUGGCUUGUAUUUGCAGACAUACUACAAGCAGAUGAUGGACCAGAUGAUGGAUCAGAUGAUCGAGGCGUACAAGACCCACUCGGUGGACGAGUAAUUCCUACAUUUUCACCUUGGCUUGUAAAUCCUGUUAGAGACUCCAAUAAUCAUAUCCUAUCCUCAUUGGUCUGAAACCGACUUUAAGACAUCCAAUAAUUACGCCAAAAUAGAUCAGUUUUCAGAAGUUGGAGGCAUUGAACGUAGAAAUCAUUGUAUCUUCGAAUCUCCAAUGAUUCAAGAAUAUCGACCGCCCUUUCAAACUCGGUAAAAUCUUCGCGGUCAAAAGCACCAGGACGUAGUCGUUCAAAAGAUUCCCUUUGAAAGUCUCUUAUGGAAGACAUUGUCUCUUGAAUGGUCGAUUCAAAAAAUUUUCUUCUACGUGGUACCCAUGAUCCGCUAGACUCUCUUGAUCCAUUCUUUCGACUAGCCGAUGGAUCAACUCUUGAAUGUUGUCGAUCGUGUGAAUUCAUAUGAUGGUUGUGAAUCAUUAUAAAUGAUCACACGAUACAUCUUCUUGGUUUGUUGAGUUUCUUGAACUUCAUUAGGCUCACAAUCGUCGUCGUUAUCACCAUCAUGUGAAUUGUCAUUUCUGAUUUCCGCUUUUCUUUGCCGCACAGACUAUUGACGUUGAGAACCCACAUCUAAGACUGCAAAGCAAUGAGACGUGAUAUCCCAAUCUUUUGGAGGUUCGCGGUUCAAGCGUGCUAGUUUCGCAAACUCCUAAGAUUAAAAAGUUAAU